rnacentral:snRNA from 1 species
GUGCUCGCUUCGGCAGCACAUAGACUAAAA